AUGAACGCUAGCUACAGGCUUAACACAUGCAAGUCGAGGGGCAGCAUUUUAGUUUGCUUGCAAACUGAAGAUGGCGACCGGCGCACGGGUGAGUAACACGUAUCCAACCUGCCGAUAACUCCGGGAUAGCCUUUCGAAAGAAAGAUUAAUACCGGAUGGCAUACGAAUAUCGCAUGAUAUUUUUAUUAAAGAAUUUCGGUUAUCGAUGGGGAUGCGUUCCAUUAGUUUGUUGGCGGGGUAACGGCCCACCAAGACUACGAUGGAUAGAGGUUCUGAGAGGAAGGUCCCCCACAUUGGAACUGAGACACGGUCCAAACUCCUACGGGAGGCAGCAGUGAGGAAUAUUGGUCAAUGGGCGCGAGCCUGAACCAGCCAAGUAGCGUGAAGGAUGAAGGCUCUAUGGGUCGUAAACUUCUUUUAUAUGGGAAUAAAGUUUUCCACGUGUGGAAUUUUGUAUGUACCAUAUGAAUAAGGAUCGGCUAACUCCGUGCCAGCAGCCGCGGUAAUACGGAGGAUCCGAGCGUUAUCCGGAUUUAUUGGGUUUAAAGGGAGCGUAGGUGGAUUGUUAAGUCAGUUGUGAAAGUUUGCGGCUCAACCGUAAAAUUGCAGUUGAAACUGGCAGUCUUGAGUACAGUAGAGGUGGGCGGAAUUCGUGGUGUAGCGGUGAAAUGCUUAGAUAUCACGAAGAACUCCGAUUGCGAAGGCAGCUCACUAGACUGUCACUGACACUGAUGCUCGAAAGUGUGGGUAUCAAACAGGAUUAGAUACCCUGGUAGUCCACGCCGUAAACGAUGAAUACUAGGUGUCGGGGCCCAAAGGGCUUCGGUGCCGCAGCCAACGCAAUAAGUAUUCCACCUGGGGAGUACGUUCGCAAGAAUGAAACUCAAAGGAAUUGACGGGGGCCCGCACAAGCGGAGGAACAUGUGGUUUAAUUCGAUGAUACGCGAGGAACCUUACCCGGGCUUAAAUUGCAACAGAAUAUAUUGGAAACAGUAUAGCCGUAAGGCUGUUGUGAAGGUGCUGCAUGGUUGUCGUCAGCUCGUGCCGUGAGGUGUCGGCUUAAGUGCCAUAACGAGCGCAACCCUUAUCUUUAGUUACUAACAGGUUAUGCUGAGGACUCUAGAGAGACUGCCGUCGUAAGAUGUGAGGAAGGUGGGGAUGACGUCAAAUCAGCACGGCCCUUACGUCCGGGGCUACACACGUGUUACAAUGGGGGGUACAGAAGGCGGCUACCUGGUGACAGGAUGCUAAUCCCAAAAACCUCUCUCAGUUCGGAUCGAAGUCUGCAACCCGACUUCGUGAAGCUGGAUUCGCUAGUAAUCGCGCAUCAGCCAUGGCGCGGUGAAUACGUUCCCGGGCCUUGUACACACCGCCCGUCAAGCCAUGAAAGCCGGGGGUACCUGAAGUACGUAACCGCAAGGAGCGUCCUAGGGUAAAACUGGUAAUUGGGGCU
rnacentral:rRNA from 1 species